UCGGAUAAUUUUUAUCCUUUUGGAGAACGG
rnacentral:piRNA from 1 species